rnacentral:rRNA from 1 species
ACGAACGCUGGCGGCGUGCUUAACCCCUUCAAGUCGAACGGAAAGGCCCUGCUUUUGUGGGGUGCUCGAGUGGCGAACGGGUGAGUAACACGUGAGUAACCUGCCCUUGACUUUGGGAUAACUUCAGGAAACUGGGGCUAAUACCGGAUAGGAGCUCCUGCUGCAUGGUGGGGGUUGGAAAGUUUCGGCGGUUGGGGAUGGACUCGCGGCUUAUCAGCUUGUUGGUGGGGUAGUGGCUUACCAAGGCUUUGACGGGUAGCCGGCCUGAGAGGGUGACCGGCCACAUUGGGACUGAGAUACGGCCCAGACUCCUACGGGAGGCAGCAGUGGGGAAUAUUGCACAAUGGGCGGAAGCCUGAUGCAGCAACGCCGCGUGCGGGAUGACGGCCUUCGGGUUGUAAACCGCUUUCGCCUGUGACGAAGCGUGAGUGACGGUAAUGGGUAAAGAAGCACCGGCUAACUACGUG